rnacentral:rRNA from 1 species
CCUACGGGUGGCUGCAGUGGGGAAUAUUGGACAAUGGGGGCAACCCUGAUCCAGCCAUGCCGCGUGUGUGAAGAAGGCCCUCGGGUUGUAAAGCACUUUCAGUGAGGAAGAACGCCUGGUGGUUAAUACCCAUCAGGAAAGACAUCACUCACAGAAGAAGCACCGGCUAACUCCGUGCCAGCAGCCGCGGUAAUACGGAGGGUGCGAGCGUUAAUCGGAAUUACUGGGCGUAAAGCGCGCGUAGGUGGCUUGAUAAGCCGGUUGUGAAAGCCCCGGGCUCAACCUGGGAACGGCAUCCGGAACUGUCAAGCUAGAGUGCAGGAGAGGAAGGUAGAAUUCCCGGUGUAGCGGUGAAAUGCGUAGAGAUCGGGAGGAAUACCAGUGGCGAAGGCGGCCUUCUGGACUGACACUGACACUGAGGUGCGAAAGCGUGGGUAGCAAACAGGAUUAAAUACCCGGGUAGUC